UAUAUCAGUAUGCUUACAGUAUUUAUCGAUUUUGAAAAUGUAUGUUCAAUUUAAUUUUUCAAUAUUAUAGAUCAGAAACAGGUAGUAUUCACUAAUCUUAGAAUUCAGCACUGAAUGUUUAUUAACAUUGAAUUAUUAUUCUUUUCAGUUCUAACUGGAUAGCGUUACUGAUCGCAGUCGGCCUUGUGUCUGUAAUGAAUCUUUCAAAUGUCUGCCCCAUCAGUUUGUUGGUAGGUGAUUUCCUCACCGAGAUAGUAACGGGUAACGGGGAAUCAGAGUUCGAUUCCG
rfam:Schistosoma mattheei strain Denwood, Zambia genome assembly, scaffold: SMTD_scaffold0001272